rnacentral:rRNA from 1 species
AUUGAACGCUGGCGGCAGGCCUAACACAUGCAAGUCGAACGAGAGGCGGACGGGGGAGUAAUGUAUGGGGACUGCCCGCUAGAGGGGGAUAACUACUGGAAACGGUGGCUAAUCCCGCAUACUAUCGGAUAACCCAUAUGGGAUUAGCUAGUAGGUGGGGUAAAGGCUGACCUAGACGCCGAUCUCUAGCUGGUCUGAGAGGAUGACCAGCCACACUGGGACUGAGACACUGCCCGGACUCCUACGGAGGCAGCAGUGGGGAAUAUUGCACAAUGGGCGCAAUCCUGAUGCAGCCAUGCCGCGUGUAUGAAGAAGGCCUUGGGGUUGUAAAGUACUUUCAGCGGGGAGGCGUUAACCGCAGAAGAAGCACCGGCUAACUCCGUGCCAGCAGCCGCGGUAAUUC